AAAGCGCACGUAGGCGGCUUUUUAAGUCAGGGGUGAAAUCCCGGGGCUCAACCCCGGAACUGCCCUUGAAACUGGGAAGCUAGAAUCUUGGAGAGGCGAGUGGAAUUCCGAGUGUAGAGGUGAAAUUCGUAGAUAUUCGGAAGAACACCAGUGGCGAAGGCGACUCGCUGGACAAGUAUUGACGCUGAGGUGCGAAAGCGUGGGGAGCAAACAGGAUUAGAUACCCGUGU
rnacentral:rRNA from 1 species